rnacentral:rRNA from 1 species
UAACAGAGGGGGGCAAGCGUUAUUCGGAAUUAUUGGGCGGUAAAGGGCGCGUAGGCGGCAUGGCAAGUGGAAAGGUGAAAUCCCUCGGCUUAACCGAGGAACUGCCCUCCAAACUGCUUUGCUUGAGGCCGGGAGAGGUGAGUGGAAUUCCCAGUGGUAGCGGUGAAAUGACGUAGAUAUGCGGAGGAACACCGAUGGCGAAGGCAAUCCCCUGGGCCUGCACUGACGCUCAUGCACGAAAGCGUGGGGAGCAAACAGG